AUUGAACGCUGGCGGCAUGCCUUACACAUGCAAGUCGAACGGCAGCACGGGUGCUUGCACCUGGUGGCGAGUGGCGAACGGGUGCGUAAUACAUCGGAACAUGUCCUGUCGUGGGGGAUAGCCCGGCGAAAGCCGGAUUAAUACCGCAUACGCUCUACGGAUGAAAGCGGGGGACCUUCGGGCUUCGCGCUAUAGGGUUGGCCGAUGGCUGAUUAGCUAGUUGGUGGGGUAAAGGCCCACCAAGGCGACGAUCAGUAGCUGGUCUGAGAGGACGAGCAGCCACACUGGGACGGAGACACGGCCCAGACUCCUACGGGAGGCAGCAGUGGGGAAUUUUGGACAAUGGGCGAAAGCCUGAUCCAGCAAUGCCGCGUGUGUGAAGAAGGCCUUCGGGUUGUAAAGCCCUUUUGUCCGGAAAGAAAACCUUGGCCCUAAUACGGUCGGGGGAUGACGGUACCGGAAGAAUAAGCACCGGCUAACUACGUG
rnacentral:rRNA from 1 species